AUUGACCGCUGGCGGCAGGCCUAACACAUGCAAGUCGAGCGGAGCGGCGGACGGGUGAGUAAUGCCUAGGAAUCUGCCUGGUAGGGAGGGAUACCGUCCGGAAACGGGAGCUAAUACCGCAUACUAUCAGAUGAGCCUAGGUGGGAUUAGCUAGUUGGUGGGGUAAAGUCCUACCAAGGCGACGAUCCGUCACUGGUCUUAAAGGAUGAUCAGUCACACUGGAACUGAGACACGUGCCAGAUGCCUACGGGAGGCAGCAGGGGGGAAGUGUGGACAAUGGGCGAAAGCCUGAUCCAGCCAUGCCGCGUGUGUGAAGAAGGUCUUCGGAUUGUAAAGUUCUUUAAGUUGGGAGGCGUUACCAACAGAAUAAGCACCGGCUAACUUCGUGCCAGCAGCCGCGGUAAUAC
rnacentral:rRNA from 1 species